rnacentral:rRNA from 1 species
UACGGAGGGAGCUAGCGUUGUUCGGAAUUACUGGGCGUAAAGCGCGCGUAGGCGGCUUUGUAAGUUAGAGGUGAAAGCCCGGGGCCCAACCCCGGAACUGCCUUUAAGACUGCAUCGCUUGAAUCCAGGAGAGGUGAGUGGAAUUCCGAGUGUAGAGGUGAAAUUCGUAGAUAUUCGGAAGAACACCAGUGGCGAAGGCGGCUCACUGGACUGGUAUUGAAGCUGAUGUGCGAAAGCGUGGGGAGCAAACAGG